rnacentral:rRNA from 1 species
GAUGAACGCUGGCGGCGUGCCUAACACAUGCAAGUCGAGCGAGAAAUUCCGGAACGAAGCUUCGGUUUAGGGAAGGGAUGGAAAGCGGCGGACGGGUGAGUAACGCGUGGGCAACCUGCCCUAUACAGAGGGAUAGCCAUCGGAAACGGUGAUUAAUACCUCAUAACGGGAUGAGUUUUCAUGAACUUAUCUCCAAAGAUUUAUCGGUAUAGGAUGGGCCCGCGUCUGAUUAGCUAGUUGGUAAGGUAACGGCUUACCAAGGCAACGAUCAGUAGCCGACCUGAGAGGGUAAUCGGCCACAUUGGAACUGAGACACGGUCCAAACUCCUACGGGAGGAAGCAGUGGGGAAUAUUGCACAAUGGGCGCAAGCCUGAUGCAGCAACGCCGCGUGAAUGAAGAAGGCCUUUGGGUCGUAAAAUUCUGUUCUGAGGGAAGAAAAAAAUGACGGUACCUCAGGAGAAAGCCCCGGCUAACUACGUGCCAGCCGCCGCAGUAAAAC